UGAAGGCAGCAGCAGCAGGUGAGUUCAAGUUGAGAGUUUUGACUUUCAGAGUGACCUGACUGUUGGCAUGAGCUGGCUCACCUGUGCAGGUGAGCAGUAAUUGGCAGGCCAUGGACCAAUCAGUGUCCAGUGGGCGGGGUCAUGUGAGUGUGCUCAGUUGUUUCCCGCCCUCUGUGGGCAGAGAUGUUGCUGUUGCCGUGGUGAAGCCCCUGGGAGCUGGCCUGGGAAACCCUGACACCCGCAGCCCGCUGCACACAGACAGACAGGUGAAGUGGACGAUGGAGGUGUUGUGUUACGGUUUGACUCUCCCAUUGGACGGAGACACCGUCAAACUCUGUGUCGACGUCUACACUGAUUGGCUGAUGGCCCUGGUUUCCCCGAGAGACUCCAUCCCUCCACCAAUCAGCAGAGAGCCCAACCUGUACACCCAGAAGAUCCUCCGACACCUCGACAACUUGUUCCUAUCCAGGUCAGACCAGGUGAGUCCGGUCUACCUGUCUCUCUGUCAGCAGGUGUUGUGUGCAGCUCAGUCGUUGGCCAGAGACAGUGCUGGGAUGAGCAGAGACACCUGGGAGACUCUGCUGAACUUCCUGCUCCGCAUCAACCACACCGUGCUGUCUCCACCCACCACUACAGGCGGUGUGUCGGAGCAGCUGUCUCACCUGUCGAUGGCGGUGCUGUUUGAGGUGUGGUUGCUGUCUUGCUCUCGGUGUUUUCCAUCUCGCUCUCUGUGGCAGACGGGCAGACGGAUGUUGAGCAGCUGGAGACAUCAGCCUGCAGUGGUGGAGCAGUGGAGCCGAGUAAUAGCCGCCCUGACCUCCAGGUUGUUGCUGUUGACCUUCGGUCCGUCCUUCCCUCACUUUAAAGUCCCAGAUGAAGACGCUGCUCUGAUCCCUGCAGACAUGGACGACCACCGAGUGCCUCAGACCUGGUUCAGGUUCCUGCACCUGCUCAGUAACCCGGUGGACCUCAGUUGCCCGGUGGUUGUUGGUUCGACUCCUUCCUCCCACGAGGAGGCGUUAAGAGGAGACAGUCAGCUUCCAAGCAUCUUCUUCAGAGCCAUGAGAGGAGUCAGCACGCUGGUUGACGCCUUCCUGGGUGUGACUGUGGUCAACAAAGAACCAACAGAGCAGCUUCUGCCGAACACUGGACUUACAACAAGGAUCCAUUUCAGAGACCGGUUGCCUUCUCUUGGUGUUGCUGUUACCAGGAGCCCAUUCAAAGACCGCCUCCCCUCCUAUGGUAUCUCUCGACCUCGUUCUGGCAGUGCCCCACCCAUCCCGGUGAACAUACUGAGCGUUCCCAGUGCCCCUCCCUCCACCGCCUCCCCACCUCCACACAACAGACGACUAAAACCUGUCAAUGUUUCCAAGGCAACCAGCAAACCUCCUCCGACAUCUUCCUCCCCCCAUCACUGGAAGUCUUCCUCCCAUCCUCCUCCCUCCUGCCCCCCUCUCUGCUCCUCCCCCCGACCCUCCCCGUCGCCCCUCAGGUGUAACGUGGACUCCCUCCUCCACCUGUUCGGCAGCUGGCUGUUUGAUGCUGCUCUGAUCAACUCUGGUCUGCCCACCGGUCAGAGGGAUGUCACUGUUAUGUCAGAGAAGUGGGCGGCCGGCAGAGCCGAGGCCUGCGGGACGCUCUGCAGGAUCUUCACCUGUAAGAAAACAGCAGAAGACAUCCUGUCCGUCUAUCUGUCCAGGUUCUACCUGGUUCUCCUUCAGGGUCUGCAGGUGGAGGAGGUGUGUCCCCGUGUUCUGGCCUCCAUCCUGCUGAACUCCACAUGUCUGUUCUGCUGUGACCUGAGAGGAGUCAACCUGCUGCUCCCCUCCUUCGUCUCAGCUGUGGAGAACGUGCUGCUCGACAGAGAGCUGUUGAGGUUCAAGAGUUUUGUGAGUCUGGUGGAUUUGAGGCGAGCCUCCAUCCUGGUGCUGCUGUCCCUGCUGCCCCUCCCUUUGCAGUUUGGAUCCGUCCAAUCAGAGGUGUUAUUGGAUGGGCGGUUCAGUGGUGAUGAUGUCACAGCAGGUAGCUUCCUGUCUCUGAAGCCCCGUCUCAUCGGUGUUCUGAUUGGAGCUCUGCAGACGGAGACCAACACCUCCAACACACAGCUAAUACUGGCGGCCAUGUUGAACCUGGUUCAGGACUCGGCUCUGUUAGAGGCUGCAGGACAAACUCAGCAGGAAACUGAGUCUCAGCAAGGUGGAGCUAGUAGACCCAGAUGGACCGGGGGAACCAGUGCAAAUAGAUGGACCAGAGGAACCGCCGUUCAGUCAGACGCAGCAUCGAUCCUGUGGGUUCAAUUUGUGCGCCUGCUGACUCAGCGUCUGACGGCUCAGUGGAGGAAUGACUCAGCAGUUUGUCUGUCUGCACUGGAAGUACUGGGAGGACUGGCUAAGGUGAAGGUUAGUGUGGAGGAAAGUGAGAGGAUGCGAGCGGUCACUUCAGUUUGUUGUUACAUCGUGUUUCAGUGCAGUCGUCCUCCUCCGCUUCACUCCAGAGAUCUGCACUCCAUCAUCGUUGCUGCUUUCUACUGUCUGAACGUCUGGUUAACUGAACACCCCGCCAUGCUCGACCACCAGGAGUGUUUGUUGGAGAUCCUGGAGAUCGUAGAAUUGGGGAUUGCAGGCAGUAAGUCCAGACAGGAACAGGAAGUGAGGUGUAAAGAGGAGAAAGAACUGAACCCGGCCUCUCUGAGGGUGAAGGAGGCUGCAGAGGCCACGCUGAGCUGUGUUAUGCAGGUUUCGGGGGCCUUCCCAUUCCUUGGAGGCCUGCUGGAUGAGGACGCUCUGAUUGGCUCCACCAUGAGUGAUAGCAGUGUGAAGAAGUUCAGAUAUUUUGUGGUGGACAGCUCAGUGAUCCUGGCCAUGCUGGAACAACCACAGGGACCUGAACAGGUGUGUGCAGCGCCAUGUCCGUCGAUCACAGUGCUGAUCAGAGGACCGUCAGGAGGUCACACAUGGACUCUACAGCUCCACCUGCAGCCCAGAGAGGGAAGAACCGACACACAGCAAACUCUGAUCCCAGAACAGCGCGGUUUAGCCCAGGAGGAUGCUGGGAUACGAUGUGGUGUCAAACAUCAGCUGUUUCCUGAAAACAUGGACAGAGUUGCUUCAGUUAAAGCAGAUCUGAGUAUUCCAACUCUGCACGAGACCGUUACUGAGGAGGUGCAGCAGCAGCUGGAGUGUCUGCAAGCAGCGUUGAAGAGGCAGCGACGAGUCGAGGCUCGGCCGCAGGUGAGCGGGCGAUCGGUCGUCAUGAAGACCUGCAGGCCGCCGCCUCCUAUUACCAACUUCCAGACGGCGAGACUCUUCCUGUCCCACCUGGGCCUGCUGACACCUGAGACCCUGAAGAAUCCAGGUACCAGCGGUGUCCCGGCUCAGUUGGUGUCUCUGGACUCGUCCCUUCCAGGUUUCUCUGAGGAUCUGAGACGUUUGGACCAGCUGCCGUCAAGAAACUUUGACUCCGCUUUCGUGUUCUACAUGAGAGCAGGACAGAGGACAGCUGCUGAGAUCCUGAGGAACGUGGAGUCCAGCUGCAGCGUCCCGUCUCACUUCCUGGACUUCCUGUCAUCUCUUGGUCAGCCGGUGGAGGCGGGGCGACGACAGGGGGGCGGGGUCAACACCAACAGUUCAGAAUUCCCUGCUGUGCUUGGCGACAGUGGAGGGGGCGUGUUUAAUGGAGAGAGGUUCGUCCUGAUGUACGCCAAUGCUCUGACAGAGAUCACCUUCAUCGUCCCCUCAUCAUCAUACACGGCUGAUUUGUCGAAGAGUCCAGACAAGGCGGAGCCUCCGACUGAGCUGCCAUCCAACUUGAGUCUUUCUGAGCCAAGCCAAGACUCCGCCCCUCAACCCACAAGUUCUCCAGUUGAAGACAUGAAGUCUUUUCGUUUUGUGUUGUCGUCCGUCGGCUCUGAAUCCAAACUUCUUAUAGUCUGGGUUGAACGCUUCGAGGAUAUCGAGAGUUUCCCUCUGUCCGACCUGCUGUCAGAGAUGAAGGCAGAAACACCGACCAGUGCGUCAAAUGUCCAGCUGAUCUUUGUCCAUCCUCUGAAAACUGGACUCUACCGGAUCCGUUUCCAUGGAAACGCCACCAGCAAGUUCAGUUUGGUUGUCCCAUUGGUCAGCGGGAGUGUGGUCAGCAAGAGGUCUUUGGGUUUCCUGGUUAGAGAGACAGUGAUCAACUGUUGCCAUCGGCGACGGUUAGAGAGUGACUCUGCUCUUCCAUCCCAUGUCAGAAGGAAGCACAUGAUCAAUGACAUCAUCCUUCGCUACCGGAGCCGCCGCUCUGAACCCGCCUUUUACUCCGCCCUGUUCCAGGACCCCUGAACCCGACCUUUAACCUCUCUGACUGACCCCUGACCUUUAACCUCUCUGACUGACCCCUGACCUUUAACCUCUCUCACUGACUCCUGACCUUUAACCUCUCUGACUGACCCCUGACCUUUAACCUCUCUGACUGACCCCUGAACUUUUAUCUCUCCGACUGACCCCCCUGACCUUUAAUCUCUCUGACUGACCCCCGACCUUUGACCUUUCUGACCAACCCCCCAUAACCUCUACCUACUGUACACCAUAGACUGUAUAUAAAGAUGGACAACAUGACAGCUCCCCAAAAUUGAAGCCAAAACAUCUUGAUUGCCAAUCACAGGCUGCGGCCGUGCUCGGCUUGUGAUUGGGUCGGUCAAUUGUGUGGGCGCGACCUGGAUAUCGCGGCUCCAGCUCCCCGAUCACAACUGCACAGACUCUGGCUCCAAAUGAUGUCAAAAGCGUGAGAUGGCUGCUCCCAUAUCCAAGAUAUUUUGGCUUAAUUUUACAAUGGAAGGAAGUGGAGACUCGUCGUCCAUCUAUCUAUACAGUCUAUGCUGUACACCAACAACCAGCUCCACUGUUGCCAUGGAAACCUGAUGUUUUAUUUACCAAUCACAGAUUUAAAAAUGUGCUUGUGUGUUUGUGUAGUUGUAAACCAGCCAAUCAGAAUCAACAGUUACUGCUGUCACAGGUUUUGUGUGAGGACAGGUGUUACUGAGUCAUGAUGUCACCUGCAGGUUUAAUAAACAGUGUGUGUAAAAACCUCACAUUCUGAUUGGUCCUUUAGUGUGAUGUCAUCAAUUCAUUUCAAUGGGGCU